UACGUAGGGUGCGAGCGUUAAUCGGAAUUACUGGGCGUAAAGCGUGCGCAGGCGGUUCGUUGUGUCGGUGGUGAAAGCCCCGGGCUUAACCUGGGAAUGGCCAUGGAAACUGGCGAACUGGAGUGUGGCAGAGGGGGGUGGAAUUCCGCGUGUAGCAGUGAAAUGCGUAGAGAUGCGGAGGAACACCGAUGGCGAGGGCAGCCCCCUGGGCUAGCACUGACGCUCAGGCACGAAAGCGUGGGGAGCAAACAGG
rnacentral:rRNA from 1 species